rnacentral:rRNA from 1 species
UACGGAAGGCAGCAGUGGGGAAUAUUGCACAAUGGGCGAAAGCCUGAUGCAGCUAUGCCGCGUGUAUGAAGAAGGCCUUAGGGUUGUAAAGUACUUUCAUCGGGGAGGAAAAACAAAACUAAUAAUUUUAUUUCUUGACGUUACCCGAAAAAGAAGCACCGGCUAACUCCGUGCCAGCAGCCUCGGUAAUACGGAGGGUGCUAGCGUUAAUCAGAAUUACUGGGCAUAAAGAGCACGUAGGUGGUUUUUUUAAGUUCAGAUGUGAAAUCCCUGGGCUUAACCUGGAACUGCAUUUUUGAAACUGAAAUACUAGAGUAUCGUAGAGGGAGGUAGAAUUCUAGGUGUAGCGGUGAAAUGCGUAGAUAUCUGGAGGAAUACCUGUGGCGAAAGCGGCCUCCUAAACGAAUACUGACACUGAGGUGCGAAAGCUGGGGAGCAAACAGGGAUUAGAUACC